CCUACGGGGGGCAGCAGUGGGGAACAUUGCACAAUGGGGGAAACCCUGAUGCAGCGACGCCGCGUGAAGGAAGAAGUAUUUCGGUAUGUAAACUUCUAUCAGCAGGGAAGAAAAUGACGGUACCUGACUAAGAAGCCCCGGCUAACUACGUGCCAGCAGCCGCGGUAAUACGUAGGGGGCAAGCGUUAUCCGGAUUUACUGGGUGUAAAGGGCGUGUAGGCGGGACUGCAAGUCAGAUGUGAAAAUUAUGGGCUCAACCCAUAACCUGCAUUUGAAACUGUAGUUCUUGAGUGAUGGAGAGGCAG
rnacentral:rRNA from 1 species